rnacentral:rRNA from 1 species
UACAGGGGGUGCAAACGUUGCUCGGAAUUAUUGGGCGUAAAGCGCACGUAGGCGGUCUGUUAUGUCGGAUGUGAAAGCCCUUGGCUCAACUGAGGAAGUGCAUCCGAAACUGGCAGGCUAGAGUACGUAAGAGGGUCGCGGAAUUCCCGGUGUAGAGGUGAAAUUCGUAGAUAUUGGGAAGAACACCAGUGGCGAAGGCGGCUAACUGGUCCAGAUCUGACGCUGAGGUGCGAAAGCGUGGGGAGCAAACAGG